UGCCAGCCGCCGCGGUAAUACGAAGGGGGCUAGCGUUGUUCGGAAUUACUGGGCGUAAAGCGCACGUAGGCGGACACUUAAGUCAGGGGUGAAAUCCCGAGGCUCAACCUCGGAAUUGCCUUUGAUACUGGGUGUCUCGAGUCCGAGAGAGGUGAGUGGAACUCCGAGUGUAGAGGUGAAAUUCGUAGAUAUUCGGAAGAACACCAGUGGCGAAGGCGGCUCACUGGCUCGAUACUGACGCUGAGGUGCGAAAGCGUGGGGAGCAAACAGGAUUAGAUA
rnacentral:rRNA from 1 species